AGAGGUCUCAAGCGUUGUUCGGAAUCACUGGGCGUAAAGGGUGCGUAGGUGGCGUGGUAAGUCAGAUGUGAAAGCCCGGGGCUCAACCUCGGAACUGCAUCCGAUACUGCUGUGCUAGAGUACUGGAGAGGUGACUAGAAUUCUCGGUGUAGCAGUGAAAUGCGUAGAUAUCGAGAGGAAUACCAAAGGCGUAGGCAGGUUACUGGACAGUUACUGACACUGAAGCACGAAGGCCAGGGGAGCAAACGGGAUUAGAUACCCCGGUAGUCCUGGCAGUAAACGGUGCACACUUGGUGUGGGGGGAUUCGACCCCUCCUGUGCCGGAGCUAACGCGUUAAGUGUGCCGCCUGGGAAGUACGGUCGCAAGAUUAAAACUCAAAGAAAUUGACGGGGACCCGCACAAGCGGUGGAGUAUGUGGCUUAAUUCGAUGCAACGCGAAGAACCUUACCUGGGUUUGACAUACACCGGAAAGCUGCAGAGAUGUGGCCCCCCUUGUGGUCGGUGUACAGGUGG
rnacentral:rRNA from 1 species